rnacentral:rRNA from 1 species
CCUACGGGAGGCAGCAGUGGGGAAUUUUGGACAAUGGGCGCAAGCCUGAUCCAGCCAUGCCGCGUGCGGGAAGAAGGCCUUCGGGUUGUAAACCGCUUUUGUCAGGGAAGAAAAGGUUCUGGCUAAUACCUGGGACUCAUGACGGUACCUGAAGAAUAAGCACCGGCUAACUACGUGCCAGCAGCCGCGGUAAUACGUAGGGUGCAAGCGUUAAUCGGAAUUACUGGGCGUAAAGCGUGCGCAGGCGGUUAUGCAAGACAGAGGUGAAAUCCCCGGGCUCAACCUGGGAACUGCCUUUGUGACUGCAUAGCUAGAGUACGGUAGAGGGGGAUGGAAUUCCGCGUGUAGCAGUGAAAUGCGUAGAUAUGCGGAGGAACACCGAUGGCGAAGGCAAUCCCCUGGACCUGUACUGACGCUCAUGCACGAAAGCGUGGGGAGCAAACAGGAUUAGAUACCCUGGUAGUCCACGCCCUAAACGAUGUCAACUGGUUGUUGGGAGGGUUUCUUCUCAGUAACGUAGCUAACGCGUGAAGUUGACCGCCUGGGGAGUACGGCCGCAAGGUUGAAACGUCAAAGGAAUUGACGG